rnacentral:lncRNA from 1 species
UCCAAGGAAAAUCGGGAGGCGCUCGAGGGAGGGAGAAGUAGGUCGGAGGACCGCCAUGAAAGCAGCUAUGGAAGCAAAGGGAAGGAGGAGCUCCGACGACCCCCCAUCGUCACUGGGAUGCUCUCCGAGGGCUGUUUGGAUCGAUUUCGAGGAGGCGUACGAACAGUCUAAAUAACAGCGGCCGUAAACACAGAGCAGUAAUUAUUCGGGAUUCUAAUGGAAAUCUGGGUUUGCUUUCAUCAGGGCGCGGGAGGGGAAGAAGGGAGCGGGGUGACCUGGGAGGAGCUCGGGUGGUGAUGGUGCUGCUCCUUGCUCUUGCUGACGAUGAUGGUGACGAAGGAUCCAUCUUCCUGCGAGCCCAC